AAUUGAUAGCGAUGCAUUGGUGUUGGUGUUGGUGUUGGUUUUGGUUAAAAAUCAUAAAAAAAAAAAGAAGCUAAAAUCUGGCAUUCUGGCUUGAAUCAGGAGUAGUAGGAGUGGGCGAUGGCGAGCCAUCUGUACGGGUACGGAGGAGCAGCAUCAGGAGCAGUUGGUGCAACAGCAACAGGCGGUGGUGGUCUGUCGAGCGUGUAUUCCGAAGCCGCCCUUCGAUACCUUGCUGCUUCCUCCUCUGACUCAGAUUCCUCCAAAUACUCCCUUGCCGAUCACCAUCGGAUGUAUCUCACCCACACCACCGCCGAUGCCCUAGCUUCUUACUCCUCCGCUGCUGACUCCCUUCUUUCCGGCGUCAAACGCUCUGCUGCUGAAGUGCUCUACCAUCAGACUCUUUUGGGUGUCCAUAAUACAAUUGGGCAAAGUGAAGCUUGGUAUUCUACAAACUCUUUAGCCAAGCGCUCUAGAUAUGAAAGUGCAAGCAAUUUGCCUAUAUAUCCUCAGAGGCCAGGAGAGAAGGAUUGUGCCCACUAUAUGCUCACAAGAACCUGUAAAUUUGGAGAUAGCUGCAAGUUUGACCAUCCUAUUUGGGUUCCUGAGGGUGGAAUCCCAGAUUGGAAAGAGGUUCCACUUGUUGCUACUAGUGAAUCCCUUCCUGAGAGACCAGGAGCACCCGAUUGUCCAUACUUUAUAAAAACCCAAAGAUGCAAAUUUGGUUUGAGGUGCAAGUUUAAUCAUCCAAAGGAUAAGACUACUGCAGGUUCUUUAGAAAAUGUAGACGUUGCUGUCUUACCUGAGAGGCCAUUUGAGCCCCCAUGUGCAUUCUACUUGAAGACUGGAAAUUGUAAGUUUGGUGCAACCUGCAAAUUCCAUCAUCCAAAAGAUGUCCAAAUACUUUCUAAUGGACAAGAAAAUGGAACUAGCAGACAUACUGAAGUAGCACUAAAUACAGAAGGCACAUUUGGAGCUGUGCAUAAUUCUGCCGCAUUCACCCCAGCAUUAUUCUAUAAUUCUAAAGAACUUCCUAUAAGACCGGGUGAACCAGAUUGCCCAUUCUACCUGAAAACUGGCAGUUGCAAGUAUGGUGCCACAUGCCGCUACAAUCAUCCUGAUAGAAAUGCAAUACAUCCACCUGCAGCAAUUGGCCAUACCAUUAUAGCCUCUCCAGCUGCUAGUCUUAACAUUGGAGCUGUUAAUCCAGUUGCCUCUCUCUAUCAGACCAUUGACCCUAGAUUAGCUCAGCCAACGGUGGGAGUGGCAACUAUCUAUCCUCAACGACCUGGACAGAUUGAAUGUGAUUACUAUAUGAAGACCGGCGAAUGUAAGUUUGGUGAACGAUGCAAAUACCAUCAUCCUAUUGAUCGGUCAGCACCAACAUUGUCAACAGCAAGUCAAGUUCAACAAGAAACCACAAAACUAACUCUCGCUGGACUUCCUCGUAGAGAGAUCAACAGUUAGGUUGUGUUUCUAAGGCACAUCAGGCGGAUCUUUUUUGUCUUCAUCUGAAAUCAAUUUUGUUUGCUCGGACUCCAUUUUGGCCGUUUCAGCAAAGCUAGUGAUGUUCUGGUGUAAUUGUCUUAGUGCUCAUGUGAGCUACCAGGGUUGGGUACAAAAAUCCAUGACAGAUCUUUAAGAAGUAUGCCACAAAUAUUUUCUGGAGGCAUGGCGUUUGGGUAUUUUCAGAUUCCAGCAGCCUGGUAAUAUGUGAAAGCAAUGCAAGAUUUUACCCAUGUAUAGUGCAUGGCGACUGUGGUAUGCUUGGCUCAUGUUUGACCGCCAUCUUUCAUGCACUUUGGAAUCUGUUCUGUUACAGUACUUAGGUGCUUUAGGAGGAUUUAAGAAUGCAUUCUGGACACUUGCUUUGUCCUUCAACUUCUCAACGGAUGGGUGAAGUAGAGAAAAUCAGCUGGAUGCACUGAUAUUUCUAGAACUCUUGGACUGUUUUAAGUUUCUUUUUGAACAGGGUUCUAUAAUCUGUCCAUAUUAUAUGAAAACCGGAACAUGCAAGUACGGUGCAACCUGCAAGUUUGAUCACCCACCUCCUGGUGAAGCAAUGGCAAUGGCAACGUCACAAGGGACAUCUACAGCUGCUGGGGGCGAGGCGAAU